rnacentral:rRNA from 1 species
CCCCCACUUACCCCCACGCCACCCCGCGGUAUAUCCCCAGCCCCCUAAGAGCGUAUAAAAAAAAGUUUGCCGCAGUAUAAAAAAGCUGAGUAGGAGUUUUUCUGUAUAAUAUUUUUAUAAAAAAAUAUUUUUGAUGAAUAUUUAUAUAAUAUUCACAUAAUUCAUAUUACUUUUUUUUUUAGUAUAUGAAAUUUUACUUUGAGAAAAUUAGAGUGCUUAAAGCAGGCAUAUGCCUUGAAUACUCCAGCAUGGAAUAAUAUUAAAGAUUUUUAUCUUUUUUAUUGGUUCUAAGAUAAGAAUAAUGAUUAAUAGGGACAGUUGGGGGCAUUUGUAUUUAACAGUCAGAGGUGAAAUUCUUAGAUUUGUUAAAGACAAACUAAUGCGAAAGCAUUUGCCAAGGAUGUUUUCAUUAAUCAAGAACGAAAGUUAGGGGAUCGAAGACGAUCAGAUGCGUCGUAGUCUAACCGAAAACUAUGCCUUACUGAGAACAGAGAGG